GAUGAACGCUGGCGGCGUGCCUAAUACAUGCAAGUAGAACGCUGAAGCUUGGUGCUUGCACCGAGCGGAUGAGUUGCGAACGGGUGAGUAACGCGUAGGUAACCUGCCUCUUAGCGGGGGAUAACUAUUGGAAACGAUAGCUAAUACCGCAUAAAAGACGAUAUCGCAUGAUAUUGAUUUGAAAGGUGCAAUUGCAUCACUAAGAGAUGGACCUGCGUUGUAUUAGCUAGUUGGUGAGGUAACGGCUCACCAAGGCGACGAUACAUAGCCGACCUGAGAGGGUGAUCGGCCACACUGGGACUGAGACACGGCCCAGACUCCUACGGGAGGCAGCAGUAGGGAAUCUUCGGCAAUGGGGGCAACCCUGACCGAGCAACGCCGCGUGAGUGAAGAAGGUUUUCGGAUCGUAAAGCUCUGUUGUAAGAGAAGAACGAGUGUGAGAGUGGAAAGUUCACACUGUGACGGUAACUUACCAGAAAGGGACGGCUAACUACGUGCCAGCAGCCGCGGUAAUACGUAGGUCCCGAGCGUUAUCCGGAUUUAUUGGGCGUAAAGCGAGCGCAGGCGGUUAGAUAAGUCUGAAGUUAAAGGCUGUGGCUUAACCAUAGUACGCUUUGGAAACUGUUUAACUUGAGUGCAGAAGGGGAGAGUGGAAUUCCAUGUGUAGCGGUGAAAUGCGUAGAUAUAUGGAGGAACACCGGUGGCGAAAGCGGCUCUCUGGUCUGUAACUGACGCUGAGGCUCGAAAGCGUGGGGAGCAAACGGG
rnacentral:rRNA from 1 species